UUACUGAGUGAGCAUGGCAUAGCUCCGCCCAUGUGGAGAGGAUAGCUCUAAUAAUCCCUCCCAAAGAGUGGUCCAGCAAGACUGGCAUAGAUAGAUAGCAGGUCACAGCACCUCUCUGCUACCACUAAGCUCAAGCCUGAGCUGACCUAUGCCUGAUGGGUGAUAACCCAAUCCACUUGUGGGGAGAGGCAGGUAUGAGACAGAUUCUGAAGCUGCUGGUUGCACCCUUGAGCUGUUCCAGCCUCGUGAGCUCCUUCCUGCUAUCCAUAGCUGUCAACAUUUCCCUUUUUUAAAGGGAAAUUCCCUUAUUCCGAAUAGGAUACCUCACAAGAAAAGGGAAACAUUGACAGCUAUGCUCCUAUCUUCCAUUUCAUCUGAAUCUGCUAGGGACCUUGCUGCCCUCAGCAUGUUAGCGGCAUUGUCCACAUCCAGAGUUAUGGUCCUUCUGCUAAAGUUGUGACGAACAAGAAAGAGAGAUUCCAGCCAAAGCCAAACUGAACCAGUUAAACCAAAACCCAGGGCCAAACUAGACAUUUGCUACCAGAUACAUGACAUGUAGCUACAUGUCUAGUUCUUCCUCACAGGCAUAGGUGAGCGAGCCUUAUCAAAAAGGCAGCACACAGUGGGUGGGGGAUAGGAAGCUUAUCUCUUAUCUCCCCAACACAGUCAGAAUGAAAAGCAACUGUUGAAAAAAAGUUCUCUCAGGGUUAAAAGUGUCCAACCUGUAUUAUUCUUACAAAAACUCUGUAUCAUUAUCCUUCCAUUGUUUUGCUCCUAAAUUAUUAUUCCCCAUAUUUAUUGGUUGUGUGUGUGUGUGUGUGUGUGUGUGUGUGUGUGUUAAGGCUGAAAAAUAAUAGCUUGCCUAAGGCCAGUUAGGGAGUUCAUGGUAAUAGAAAAUAUUCAAACUGGGACCUUCCUGAUUAAUAGCACAUACUCUUCACCACUAUACUGUUCUAUAGCAGCUUGUUUUUGUUGUCGUUUCCGCAGCUGCUGCCAAUAGCCUUUUAGGUUGAUAAGGAGCAACUGCUACAAUUUAAACUAGCCACAUUUUAUAGCGGGGCUGCUGAUAUGUUUACUUCAUUUUUAAGCAAUUGACUCAAUCAUUCUGACUUUAUUUUCCUGGGAUUUUUUUUAAAAAACAAAUGUAUCUUAUUUUAUAGCCAUCUAUCUGGCCUCUAAUUGAGAUUUUAAUCAUGUUCUAACCAUGUUUUAUGGUCCAUCUGUGACAUUUAUGUGGUUGGCAUAUUAUGGCCUAGAUUAUCAUGUGUCAUAAACCCCAAGCUACUUACCUGUAAAAUGCUGACAUCUAUCCAUCGCAUGCAACAUUAAUUGUAUCACAUUUCUAAAGCAAGGCAAAAAGCGGAAAUGGAAUUAAUCUGUGCUUUAUUCUGCAUGUGGUAGUUCAAGCCUCCAAAUCUACUUCUAUAGUUCUCUGUGUGGGUGUCAAAUUGCAAUUUUUGCCACUUUCAUUUGGCAAAAGGGUUCUAAGGUUUCCGGGGGAGGCUCAAGUCUCAUCCAGGAAAAGCUCAAGUGAGUCAAGGAGAAAAGAGGGGAAUCAUGUAUCUUUUAUCCUGGCGUAGUCACUUUUUAGUGAAGGAUCAAGAAAUGCAGUGCGGACUGCUGAGUAGUGAAUAUUGAGUAGCUAAUUUUUCCUGUGGUGUCUUAAGUGGAAGCAAUUUGGGUACACAAAAUGAAGCUUAACAGACUACAUCUGCCUAUGUGGUUUCUUUUUCUCCUCUCAUCACUUCAUUUUAAAAGAAAGCUUUCCCUUGACGUUUGCUUUAAAUACAUUUCCAAAUACCACCAUGACCGCUGCUACUGCUAACAUUUGCAUAGCGCCAGAGGUGGCAACUUUCGCCAAAGAUUGAGGGGGUUGGGUAGCACGUGUGAUAUCAUGCGCACGAUGACUGAUGUUGCGUGCCGUUUCAGGAAGAGCCAGGGAACAGAGUUGCAAGCAGUGGCCGGCAGCUCCUCUUCUCUUGCACUUGGUAGCUUUUCAUGGUGGUAGGAGGUGGAGCCAACCACUGAAACUGCGCUUGGCUCUGUGCUUGGUCUCCUCUGCCCCCGAUGGCAGGGAACAUUUAGGGGCCAAAAACGCUUGGCUUCCUAGAAUGGGUGCCCCUGCAUAGCACUUUCACAUGGUUAGAGUACUUCGCAACAGUGGUAACUUGGUAUUAUUUUCCUUAUAUCACGCAUGGCACUACUGAGGCUGAGAAAGUAUAUAGGACCAUCCUAUUGUAUAUAUUGCAUGACAGAAGAAAAACUUCAUCACCUCUCCUUUGGAACUUGUACACAUUGAAUUCUUAUUAUUCAACUACUCCCUUUCGACAGUAAUCUGGACAUGUUACUACUCAUGUUUCAUGGAAAUCAUUUCCCUUGCUUUGAGAAUGAUUUUCUGGCACAUAUUUUUCAAUCUCCUUGUUUUGUGCACUAAAACAUCCGAAGGCAUAUUGUUGUUUCUUUUUUCUGUAGAAGGAACUUGGGAUAAUCUUGGCAAGACACAUUCCGUUGCUUGCUAAGCCCAGUCUAAUGCACUAGGAUCAGGGCUUAAAUGGGGAAAUAUCUUGCAAGGAAAAUCAAUCUGCUAACUGAAGCCAUUUAUCUCUGUCAUUGGGCAGGUUACCAUUUCUUGUGAGGUAAAAGACUCUGAGCACUGGCAAAAGGCUAAAUGCACCAAAGUCAAGUCAGCAGCAAAUUUUCCUUUGGCCUCCUGGGAGUGUUAGUGUGCCUCCAUGACUAGUUUAAAAGAAGAGGUACAACUUGAAUAUCAAACUUCACUUCUCUGGCUUCAUUUAUAUCAAAACUUAUGGCAGCUAGAAUGGAGCUGGGGGACAAAUCAUCAUCAUCGAGGAAAACUGGAAUGGUCAUCUAAAGCACGGGAGAUUAUAUAUCUGAACAGAUUGACAAUAUGACCAUAUACAGGGAACUGACUCAUAAGGCUUUUGCCUUCUUGGGAUUCAGAUUAUUGGUCCACAUCUAGCCCACCACUAAGUCUAGGCACUGAUCUCAGCCUUGCACACUUGCACCUGACACAGAUGUAACAGCAUUGUCAGCAUGGUUAUGACAUCAUGUUUCAGAUUUCCUAAUGAUUACACCCAGCAGCUUCACAUAGAUGUUAAAUAGCACUAGUGAUAAGAUGGCACCCUGUAGCAAAACUGUCAAGAGACUGAGUAUACUCACCCAAUGCCAUGCUCUGAGAUUGUCAGUCAUUGUUAGUGUUUGGUGGCUGUUUCUGAAAUGAAGGGUUUGGUGUUUUCUCCUAGGAGACUCUUGUUUGACAUUUACCUGUAUAUAGUACCUAUGCUUUUAUGAGAAGGAAUAGGACUACAAACAGUGAGUUUGCAUUAAAGGUAAGCUAAUGAGCCAUUUUAUUGUCUCAUUUUGUUUUAUGAAAACAGCAGGCUAGCUAACAAUAUUGGAAGGAAAUCUCUUUACUGGAUGCAUCAACAUGCACUAUAAUUUCCUAAUCUUAUAUGCACACUCCAUAAAGACUUAAGUUCUGUCCACAGAUAGAUGUUGUGAGAAGAUACACUUACCCAUCCCAUCUGAUGGGGUUACCCUAGGACCUUAUUGUGAAGGGUGGGGAAGAAAUGGUAAUAUUAAUAGCAUUGAAAGAGCUGUCAGGAACUGAUCAUAUGCAUAUGACUCCACCAUUUCUUCAGCUACAGUGCUGAUCAUCAGCUGCAGGCAUGAAAGACUAGGGGUUAUAUCCAAUAAAGUUAUUCCAUUCGUGCAAGGACUUUUGCCUAUGUAAGUUUGAUCCUUAUUCCUGUAACACACAUCUUUUGUCACUAUACCGCAUGCCUUACUUCCUCUGAAAUUUUUCAUUAAAACUAUUUAAAUUGUGUUUGGCAUUAAGAAACACUUAUUAGAACAAUUCCAUACAAGAUUGUGCCCGUGUUUUUUUUUUUUUAUUCUCAUAAAAUCCAUACAAAAGAAAUAUCAUGUUUUAAUAUCUGCCUGAGGUCAUUUUUUCCCCACCAUAUGUCCCUUGGCUGCCAUCCAAGCCUGCCUCAUUAAAUCACCUAACCCACUGAGUAGAAUUUCUAUUGAUAGUUACCCUGUCAUUAUAAUAAGCUUGACACUAAUUGUACACUGAAUGGCAUAUCAAAUAUUAUCUUCAAAUGAAUCACUAAGGUUGUCUGUUGCCUAGCUGCUAUUUAUUUGAGGAAGGAUUGCAUAUUCUUUACAAUAAAAAAACCCCCAGAAUCUGUCUUCUCCCUGUAUUCUUGCAUAUAAACAUUCAAUGAUAUACUUAUUUUGGAUGACAAUUUUGCCAUGCAAACUUAUAUUGGUUCAUAACAGUUUAACUUCUCAUGAACCUUUGGAACUGAAGUUUGGUCAGGGGGCAAAGCAUUCUCUGCUAGAGGUCCCUUCCUAACUGCUCCCUUCCACAGGGAAAGAGAAUGACUAUGAUGCCAGUUUAUGGCUGUGCACACAUUACUGGCUUAAAACUAGGACAUAAAGGUAAAGGUAAAGAGACCCCUGACCAUUAGGUCCAGUCGCGAACGACUCUGGGGUUGUGGCGCUCAUCUCGCUUUAUUGGCCGAGGGAGCCGGCAUACAGCUUCCAGGUCAUGUGGCCAGCAUGACUAAGCCGCUUCUGGCGAACCAGAGCAGCGCACGGAAACUAGGACAUACCUUUUCUCAAUUCAGAUUGAAGCAUGUUUGGGAGAAAACAUCAUUUCCUAAGGAACUACAGGAUAUAUAUUGUUGUGGCUUACAUGUUGUAUACACCACUUCCCAAACCAGCGGUCAAGCACAUUGGAUGAAGAGUAGGCAGGAGCUAUAGAUAUCUAUCAAACUGAAAGGAUUAGCAAAACUACCUCCUUCUUCAAAAGUGCUCCAGUAUACAGUGGUACCUCAGGUUAAGAACUUAAUUCGUUCUGGAGGUCUGUUAUUAACCUGAAACUGUUAUUAACCUGAAGCACCACUUUAGCUAAUGGGGCCUCCUGCUGCCGCUGCGCCGCUGCUGCACGAUUUCUGUUCUUAUCCUGAAGCAAAGUUCUUAACCCGAGGUAAUAUUUCUGGGUUAGCGGAGUCUGUAACCUGAAGCGUAUGUAACCUGAGGUACCACUGUAUUGUGAAUUUUCUGCAUGUGGGUUUGGUGGUGUACUCGUAGAGGAGACAGGGAUAUUUUGAAGCUGUGCAUCUCCCCAUUCAUGCUCAUGCAUCCAGAUCUAAAAAUGUGGAGGGGGAAAGGGGGAGAGAACAGCAAGGCUAUUCUCACCAUUUCCAUGAAUCUAUCUUGUGCAGAUGGGAUAUUGUGCUAUUGUCAUCAAAAAGUCAAAAAUGCACUUGAGUGAUGUUUUGGCUGAUUGUGUGGGAAAGCCCUCAUUAAUCUCAAAGGAUUUAAAGCUUUCAUCACUUUUAUUUGGUUUCAGUCAGCACUAUCCUAGGUCAGAAUGCUACAUGAAGAAUUACUCAAAAGGUCGUUUAUUUUAAUCGGAAGACACCCAUACCAGCUGCAAUACAAAGCAAACUCUGCCUCCGAGAAUCUUGCUGUGUAAAUACUAGCAGCUCCACCACAAUUAAUGCAAUAACAACAUACUGCAUUACCCAUAAUUACAUCCAUAUUAGGAAAAUAAACAGCUAAAGUAGUCAGUUACUUGCCCAAACUGUUUCCUGAGGGAUAUUUAUUUUGACAAAUAUUCAAGUAAAAAUAAAAACCAAUCUGGCUUGCUAUAAAGCUUUUGGGUUUUUUUUUUCCUUUUAGGAAACGUGCUUC
rnacentral:lncRNA from 1 species